GGAAAGAAAAAGAGAAGAUUGUUUUAUCUGGGGAGGCUGAUAGUGAGUGAAGAAUUCCAAGCAAAUCGGUCAAUGUGUGCAAUAACAGGGAAGGAGGAAAGGGGCUGGAUGAGUGAGGUUGUGGGUUGAACUGUGUUCCUCUAAAAUGCACAAGUUGAGCUCCUAUCCCCCCAUACCUCACAAUGGGGUCUUAUUGGAGAUAUAGACAUAAUUAAGUUAAAAUGAAUUCACUGAGGUGGGCCCCCUUCACUGUGACUGUUGUCUCCCUCAGGACCAGUUCUUUUUGUUUAAGACAAACAGGACACCAAUAAAGACGACUGCGCAAGUUACACCUGAGUGUUGGAAAGCUCACUGGGGCAGUGGCUGGAGGGUCAAGGAGCCUGAUGGACCCAAGAAGGCAUACUAAUCAUUCAGAGGCCCAGGGCUUGCAGGGUGGUUAGCGACUAUGAAGCAGGAUCUGCAGCGAACUGAGCCUAUGCCUGAGAAAAACAAGGACAGAAGAAACAAACCAAAGAAAAAGCUGAGACAGACAGAGCCAUAUUUCCUCCCACAGUACCUCCAGCGUUGGUUUAAUCCUUGGACCACAGCACAGAUAAUUAUAAUAAUUAAUAAUCUUGAUAUUUCAGUGUUAAAUAAACACACAUACACACACACAGACUUCUUGGUUCUGUUUUUUUGGAGAUCUUUGACUAAUACAAAUACUCUUCAUUCUUCCCUCCCUCCUUCCCUUCAUUCUUUCUUCCCUUUCUCCCUCCUUCAACAAAUAACUUCCUAGCGCCA
rnacentral:lncRNA from 1 species